CUAGUUUGGUUGGGUGGAAGAAUCUGCGCAGCCAAAACUCGACAACAUAGCUAUACACACACACACAGUUAACUCACUCACUUACCUUCCUCGCCUCGCUUCUCAUCAAACCCUAAAACAUUACAUUUCACAGAAAUGUACUCGUGUAUUCCUCACUUAGCAUCUUCCCCAAAACUCACUCCUUCUUCUCAUCAUCAAUGUAUGUUCUCUUCCCGGACAAAACACAUGUUUGGAUUAGCCUCUUCUGCGCCUCAUUUCAGGAUCCGUGCUGUAUCAACCACGCAGAAUCACAUACCACCUGCUCCUAUUUUUCUCCCCCAAGGACCUUGGAACCAGAUUCCCGGCGGAGUUACUGCUGCAGAGGGAUUCAAAGCUGCGGGAAUCUACGGAGGGUUGCGUGCCAAAGGUGAAAAGCCUGAUCUCGCGCUUGUCACGUGCGAUGUUGAUGCCGUGUCUGCAGGAUCGUUUACAACGAACGUCGUUGCGGCUGCGCCCGUCUUAUACUGCAAAAAGACGUUAGAUAUCUCCAACACCGCGCGUGCUGUGUUAAUUAAUGCAGGUCAAGCAAAUGCCGCAACGGGCAAAGAAGGUUACCAGGACGUGAUAGAAUGUGUGGAAAGCCUUGCUAAGCUACAAAAAGUGAAGCCAGAAGAAAUAUUAGUUGAAUCCACCGGUGUAAUUGGUCAAAGAAUAAAGAAGGGGAAACUUUUAAACUCACUCCCUACACUAGUGAGUUCACUUUCAUCUUCAGUUGAGGGGGCAGAUUCUGCAGCAGUGGCCAUCACCACGACAGAUCUUGUUAGCAAGAGUGUGGCAAUUGAGUCUUUGGUUGGAGGAACUAAGGUCAGAAUUGGGGGAAUGGCAAAAGGUUCUGGAAUGAUCCACCCAAAUAUGGCUACCAUGCUUGGGGUAAUAACAACUGAUGCUCGGGUAACCAGUGAUGUUUGGAGAAAGAUGGUGCAGGUUGCUGUGAACCGAAGUUUCAACCAGAUAACUGUAGAUGGAGAUACUAGUACUAAUGAUACUGUUAUUGCUUUGGCUAGUGGGUUGUCUGGGAUAGGCUGCAUAUCUUCUCUGGACAAUGAUGAGGCUAUUCAACUUCAGGCAUGCCUAGAUGCGGUAAUGCAAGGUCUUGCCAAAUCAAUAGCUUGGGAUGGAGAGGGAGCAACAUGCCUCGUUGAGGUCAGUGUGACUGGUGCAAAUAGUGAGGCUGAAGCUGCAAAAGUUGCACGUUCAGUUGCAUCAUCUUCACUUGUAAAGGCUGCUAUAUAUGGUAGAGACCCCAACUGGGGACGCAUUGCUGCUGCAGCUGGUUACUCGGGGGUUUCAUUCCACCAAGAUUCACUUAGGGUGGAGCUGGGGGAUAUUUUACUAAUGGAUGGUGGGGAACCACAAUUAUUUGACCGCUUGAAAUCGUGGCAGGAACGCGGCUAGUAGUUAUCUUAGAAAGGCUGGGGAGACUCACGACACAGUUAGAAUUCAGAUAUCAGUUGGCAAUGGACCAGGACGUGGACAAGCAUGGGGCUGUGAUUUAAGCUAUGAUUAUGUUAAAAUAAAUGCCGAGUACACAACAUAAACAAAUGUAAAUUCUCACACUAUAUUGGCACAGUGAUGGGGUUGAUUAUGAUCUAAUUAGAUAUUGUGGAGGAUUUUAAUUUUGAUUUCAUAUUUAGAGAUUAUUUUGAACUUAUGGUAACUACGCAUUAUCUUUUAUAUUUAUUUGUAUUUGGUAAUCUUUAUCUCAAGAUGAGGAAUUUUAUCUU